UACUUCUGUAUUUCACGCCAUUCUUCCUUUGUUCCCUCUUUUGCAUUGCAUGUGGACAGUAAACCACAUAGUCGUCCAUCACUGAAUGUUUGAAUUUGUUCCAUUCAAACAUUCAAAGUCACAUUCCGCACGCGUGUAGGUGUCAGAGAUGUCAUUCUCACGCAACAGUCACCUACACCUAUGUUUGAAUCGGCUUAAGGAUGCUGCGAACGACAUCUCCGACAUGCUUGAAGAUUUUGAAGAUGAAACCGACUUCAACCUGGUGUGCAAGAUUAUGUCGAUUUGGUAACUAUCAAUCAUGAUCUGAAUGAUGUUGUUUAAUAACAUAUGAAUAUUUUAGAUAAUGAACUACAUCUAAAACUUUUUUAUGUAGUGAAGUAGAUCUGAACCUCACUGUUGGAGUUGAUCUUUGAGUCGAUGUUAAGUAAAAGCUGCUUCUACUUUUUGAUGCCAAGACCACCUUUAGUGGGCAGCCACGAUGAAGAAGAUUAAGAUGCCACGUAAGAUGAGAUCGAUGCAAAAGCGCCUACAAAAGAUGGACCGUGAUAGUUAUGGUGUUCAGCCAGAAACUCGCUGCGAGGAGCGGCAAGUUCCUGACAUCCGGGAAACAGCAGGAUAUGUGGAGGAGGCAGAAAUCAUCUGGAGGGCUGAUGACGAAAGGAAAAUCUUGGAUUGCAUAUCUGGGAGCAAUAGUUAUUUCCCUCUGCUUUCGAUCACAGUGAUUGGAGUCAGUAAGUAGUGAUUAGAGUCAGUAGGUAAUACAAAACAUGGUAAAUUUCAUUGGAAUAUAACUUGCAAGUUGAUGGGUUCAAAACCUUUGGGCUGUGAAAAAGAGUUAUGUUCUUCUGAUUAUGCCACUGGACUAUGGCCAUUUUCUUUAUAUUUAGGCAGUGUAUGGCGCCAUAUAGAAUGGACAGUAAUUAUGUGUAGUAUUUCUUU